CUCUCCGUAGCGCAGCCUGGUAGCGCACAUGCCUUGGGAGCAUGGGGUCGCUGGUUCAAAUCCAGCCGGAGAGACCA
rnacentral:tRNA from 1 species